AGCACUGUGGUCUAGUAGAAAGAGCACAGGCCUGGGAGUCUGAGGACCUGGGUCCUAAUCCCAGCACUGCUA
rnacentral:tRNA from 1 species